UACGUAGGGUGCGAGCGUUGUCCGGAAUUAUUGGGCGUAAAGAGCUCGUAGGCGGUCCGUCGCGUCGGUCGUGAAAACUUGGGGCUUAACCCUGAGCUUGCGGUCGAUACGGGCAUGACUGGAGUUCGGUAGGGGAGACUGGAAUUCCUGGUGUAGCGGUGAAAUGCGCAGAUAUCAGGAAGAACACCAAUGGCGAAGGCAGCUCUCUGGGACGGUACUGACGCUGAGACGCGAAAGCGUGGGGAGCGAACAGG
rnacentral:rRNA from 1 species